rnacentral:pre_miRNA from 1 species
GUGUGUGGAUGGUGUUGUGUACCAGUGUCAGAUGUGUUUAUCUGUGUGUGGAUUGUAUUCAGCACCAGGGAUAGGUGUGUUAACCU